UUCGGCCUUGCUUGGCUGCUUCAUGCAUUGCUGACCAUCGCUUGACACAGGGCUGGUCUAGGCUAGUGUUGUGUUUGAUCAGAGUCGAUAUCAUGUCAUAGGAGCCAUUUUUUACAGCUUGAAAAUGAUUGUUAAAAACAACAGAAGAAGAGAUAGAUGUGGAUCUCACUCAUAGAGUUUACGGCCUAGAGAAGAAGCCUAUGCUGCCUUCUAUUUAAAGAGAGACUCAAAGUCUGGGCCUAUACUGGGAAACGUAGAAGAUGUGAGGCCACAUGUAACAUUCUGGGGUAACCAGGAGGCAGAACCCAGAAAGGAUCUAAAGCCAAGGCAAGGAAAGCAGCUCCCAGUGUGGUAAUGGGAGGUUGAAGAUGAACUUUGCCUACUUCAUUUGGGAGCAGGCAAGCCAUCCCUGCAGGAGAUUCCAGUUUUUCUCCCUCUCCUUGUCUAAAGUAGAACCUGUUGACAAAUGCGUCUCUGAAUUGCCCAACUGUCACUGGCAGCUCUAAUUACAGUGAAUUACCUCAUGCUAGCUGGUGUUAUUGC
rnacentral:antisense_RNA from 1 species